rnacentral:rRNA from 1 species
GGGUAAAACCGGGUUGCUUUUCCUUGCUUGUCGCACGGCAGCGCGAGAGAGCUUGCUCUCUUGGCGGCGAGUGGCGGACGGGUGAGUAAUAUAUCGGAACGUGCCCAGUAGCGGGGGAUAACUACUCGAAAGAGUGGCUAAUACCGCAUACGCCCUACGGGGGAAAGGGGGGGAUCGCAAGACCUCUCACUAUUGGAGCGGCCGAUAUCGGAUUAGCUAGUUGGUGGGGUAAAGGCUCACCAAGGCAACGAUCCGUAGCUGGUUUGAGAGGACGACCAGCCACACUGGGACUGAGACACGGCCCAGACUCCUACGGGAGGCAGCAGUGGGGAAUUUUGGACAAUGGGGGAAACCCUGAUCCAGCCAUCCCGCGUGUAUGAUGAAGGCCUUCGGGUUGUAAAGUACUUUUGGCAGAGAAGAAAAGGUACCUCCUAAUACGAGGUACUGCUGACGGUAUCUGCAGAAUAAGCACCGGCUAACUACGUGCCAGCAGCCGCGGUAAUACGUAGGGUGCAAGCGUUAAUCGGAAUUACUGGGCGUAAAGCGUGUGUAGGCGGUUCGGAAAGAAAGAUGUGAAAUCCCAGGGCUCAACCUUGGAACUGCAUUUUUAACUGCCGAGCUAGAGUAUGUCAGAGGGGGGUAGAAUUCCACGUGUAGCAGUGAAAUGCGUAGAUAUGUGGAGGAAUACCGAUGGCGAAGGCAGCCCCCUGGGAUAAUACUGACGCUCAGACACGAAAGCGUGGGGAGCAAACAGGAUUAGAUACCCUGGUAGUCCACGCCCUAAACGAUGUCAACUAGCUGUUGGGGCCGUUAGGCCUUAGUAGCGCAGCUAACGCGUGAAGUUGACCGCCUGGGGAGUACGGUCGCAAGAUUAAAACUCAAAGGAAUUGACGGGGACCCGCACAAGCGGUGGAUGAUGUGGAUUAAUUCGAUGCAACGCGAAAAACCUUACCUACCCUUGACAUGUCUGGAAAGCCGAAGAGAUUUGGCCGUGCUCGCAAGAGAACCGGGAACACUGGUGCUG